CCCACGGCUCACGCCGUGGGCUACGAUCUUGCGCCCCUACCGGGGCU
rnacentral:sRNA from 1 species